GGAGGGAUGGCAGAGCGGUUGAAUGCACCGGUCUUGAAAACCGGCGAAGGUGAAAGCCUUCCCAGGGUUCGAAUCCCUGUCCCUCCG
rnacentral:tRNA from 8 species